rnacentral:rRNA from 1 species
CAUUAGUGAAUAUAGGACGUCCAACUUAACUUGGAGUCCGACCUCUCACUUUCUAACCCUGUGCAUUUGUUUGGGAUAGUAACUCUCGCAAGAGGGCGAACUCCUAUUCACUUAUAAAACACAAAGUCUAUGAAUGUAUUAAAUUUUAUAACAAAAUAAAACUUUCAACAACGGAUCUCUUGGCUCUCGCAUCGAUGAAGAACGCAGCGAAAUGCGAUAAGUAAUGUGAAUUGCAGAAUUCAGUGAAUCAUCGAAUCUUUGAACGCACCUUGCGCUCCAUGGUAUUCCGUGGAGCAUGCCUGUUUGAGUGUCAUGAAUACUUCAACCCUCCUCUUUCUUAAUGAUUGAAGAGGUGUUUGGUUUCUGAGCGCUGCUGGCCUUUACGGUCUAGCUUGUUCGUAAUGCAUUAGCAUCCGCAAUCGAACUUCGGAUUGACUUGGCGUAAUAGACUAUUCGCUGAGGAAUUCUAGUCUUUGGACUAGAGCCGGGUUGGGUUAAAGGAAGCUUCUAAUCAGAAUGUCUACAUUUUAAGAUUAGAUCUCAAAUCAGGUAGGACUACCCGCUGAACUUAAGCAUAUCAAUAAGCGGAGGAAAAGAAACUAACAAGGAUUCCCCUAGUAGCGGCGAGCGAAGCGGGAAGAGCUCAAAUUUAUAAUCUGGCACCUUCGGUGUCCGAGUUGUAAUCUCUAGAAAUGUUUUCCGCGUUGGACCGCACACAAGUCUGUUGGAAUACAGCGGCAUAGUGGUGAGACCCCCGUAUAUGGUGCGGACGCCCAGCGCUUUGUGAUACA